rnacentral:rRNA from 1 species
AGAGUUUGAUCAUGGCUCAGAUUGAACGCUGGCGGCAGGCCUAACACAUGCAAGUCGAGCGGUAGCACAGAGAGCUUGCUCUCGGGUGACGAGCGGCGGACGGGUGAGUAAUGUCUGGGAAACUGCCUGAUGGAGGGGGAUAACUACUGGAAACGGUAGCUAAUACCGCAUAACGUCGCAAGACCAAAGUGGGGGACCUUCGGGCCUCAUGCCAUCAGAUGUGCCCAGAUGGGAUUAGCUAGUAGGUGGGGUAACGGCUCACCUAGGCGACGAUCCCUAGCUGGUCUGAGAGGAUGACCAGCCACACUGGAACUGAGACACGGUCCAGACUCCUACGGGAGGCAGCAGUGGGGAAUAUUGCACAAUGGGCGCAAGCCUGAUGCAGCCAUGCCGCGUGUGUGAAGAAGGCCUUCGGGUUGUAAAGCACUUUCAGCGGGGAGGAAGGCGAUAAGGUUAAUAACCUUGUCGAUUGACGUUACCCGCAGAAGAAGCACCGGCUAACUCCGUGCCAGCAGCCGCGGUAAUACGGAGGGUGCAAGCGUUAAUCGGAAUUACUGGGCGUAAAGCGCACGCAGGCGGUCUGUCAAGUCGGAUGUGAAAUCCCCGGGCUCAACCUGGGAACUGCAUUCGAAACUGGCAGGCUAGAGUCUUGUAGAGGGGGGUAGAAUUCCAGGUGUAGCGGUGAAAUGCGUAGAGAUCUGGAGGAAUACCGGUGGCGAAGGCGGCCCCCUGGACAAAGACUGACGCUCAGGUGCGAAAGCGUGGGGAGCAAACAGGAUUAGAUACCCUGGUAGUCCACGCCGUAAACGAUGUCGAUUUGGAGGUUGUGCCCUUGAGGCGUGGCUUCCGGAGCUAACGCGUUAAAUCGACCGCCUGGGGAGUACGGCCGCAAGGUUAAAACUCAAAUGAAUUGACGGGGGCCCGCACAAGCGGUGGAGCAUGUGGUUUAAUUCGAUGCAACGCGAAGAACCUUACCUGGUCUUGACAUCCACAGAACUUAGCAGAGAUGCUUUGGUGCCUUCGGGAACUGUGAGACAGGUGCUGCAUGGCUGUCGUCAGCUCGUGUUGUGAAAUGUUGGGUUAAGUCCCGCAACGAGCGCAACCCUUAUCCUUUGUUGCCAGCGGUCCGGCCGGGAACUCAAAGGAGACUGCCAGUGAUAAACUGGAGGAAGGUGGGGAUGACGUCAAGUCAUCAUGGCCCUUACGACCAGGGCUACACACGUGCUACAAUGGCAUAUACAAAGAGAAGCGACCUCGCGAGAGCAAGCGGACCUCAUAAAGUAUGUCGUAGUCCGGAUUGGAGUCUGCAA